rnacentral:rRNA from 1 species
GACGAACGCUGGCGGCGUGCUUAACACAUGCAAGUCGAACGGAAAGGCCCUGCUUUUGUGGGGUGCUCGAGUGGCGAACGGGUGAGUAACACGUGAGUAACCUGCCCUUGACUUUGGGAUAACUUCAGGAAACUGGGGCUAAUACCGGAUAGGAGCUCCUGCUGCAUGGUGGGGGUUGGAAAGUUUCGGCGGUUGGGGAUGGACUGGCGGCUUAUCAGCUUGUUGGUGGGGUAGUGGCUUACCAAGGCUUUGACGGGUAGCCGGCCUGAGAGGGGGACCGGCCACAUUGGGACUGAGAUACGGCGCAGACUCCUACGGGAGGCAGCAGUCGGGAAUAUUGCACAAUGGGCGGAAGCCUGAUGCAACAACGCCGCGUGCGGGAUGACGGCCUUCGGGUUGUAAACCGCUUUCGCCUGUGACGAAGCGUGAGUGACGGUAAUGGGUAAAGAAGCACCGGCUAACUACGUG